AUCUGUCCUCGGUUUUGAGGGAGUCGGUUUCCUUAGUAGAUAAAGAAUUCUUGAGCAGGAAGAUCACGAUCAAACAAGACCUGUCCGCCACGCUGUCGCCGGUGAUGGGAGACCAGGAUCAACUCAAGCAGGUAUUCCUAAACCUUCUGGUCAACUCCCGAGAUUUCAUGCCUGAGGGGGGAGAGAUCAGAGUGAGCGCGCGUAAUGUGGAUUCCGGCGUAACGGUCGAAUUUUUUGACACCGGUCCGGGCAUUUCGGAAGACAACAUAUCCAGAAUCUUCGAGCCGUUUUUCACCACCAAGGAGGAGGGAAGGGGCACCGGUUUAGGU
rnacentral:rRNA from 1 species